rnacentral:rRNA from 1 species
GACGAACGCUGGCGGCGUGCUUAACACAUGCAAGUCGAACGGAAAGGCCCUGCUUUUGUGGGGUGCUCGAGUGGCGAACGGGUGAGUAACACGUGAGUAACCUGCCCUUGACUUUGGGAUAACUUCAGGAAACUGGGGCUAAUACCGGAUAGGAGCUCCUGCUGCAUGGUGAGGGUUGGAAAGUUUCGGCGGUUGGGGAUGGACUCGCGGCUUAUCAGCUUGUUGGUGGGGUAGUGGCUUACCAAGGCUUUGACGGGUAGCCGGCCUGAGAGGGUGACCGGCAACAUGGGAAUUGGGAUACGGCCCGGACUCCACGGGGAGGCAGAGGUGGGGAUUAUGGCAAAAUGGGCGGAGGCCGGAUGCAGCAACGCGGCGGGGGGAAUGCCGGCCUUCGGGUUGUAAACCGUUUUCGCCUGUGCCGAAGCGUGGGUGACGGUAAUGGGUAAAGAAGAACCGCCUAACUACGU